UUUAAUUUGAAAAGGACUUUUAUUAUACAGAUUUUUGUGGCUGGGUGACAGGUCCACUUUAAAGACCAGGCACAGUAUACUAAAAAUGAAAAGAGAUUGGAGAUGGAUAUUGAGACAGUGGAGAAAGAUAUUAUGGAUGUCAAACAAAAUAAAUUUUUAAGAGAUAAAGCUGAUUACGAACAAGACAGGGUGUUCAUAUGGGGAAUGAAAUUGAACAAGCAACAUGGAAGAUGGGAGCGUUUAAAACCAUCUUUAAAAACAUCUAAAUAUCAUAAUACGAGAUUUAAGAGUAAUUCGGUUGAUAUCGAUGCUGAUGCAAUGUCCUAGUGUCUCUUUUUUAGCAACAUCUGGGAGCGACCUGGACCUGAUUCAAGACAAGACGACGAACGGGAGAGGGAGCUCAUGAAAGAAAAGAAACCAAGAAAACAAGGAGAGGAUCGAGAGGCAGAGGGAUUAAGAGGGAAGAGAGAUGUAGAGACCAGGAAAGGAAGAGGAAAGAACAUCAACAAGAGGAAGUAGUAAAAUACUUGUGAAUAGGAAAUAUACAUGGAUGAUGAAAGCUCUUUUACGGGACAAUGAAGUAAACGAGAAAUGUGGGAUGAUGUUUGUACAUUAACAGUUGUGAAGAGAAGAUACUAUUUAUUAAUAUAUCUGAGCGCCCGCAUUGACAGAGCUCAUCUUGUUCCGUGUGAAUUGGGAUUGCUUGCGUCCGUGGAGUUCUCGCGGUAUGCCGCUGGAGGGGAGACUUGCUUCCUAGACGCCGAGUGGGUGAGCUCCGCUAUUUAUCCUCAUAUACCUGCUUUGUACAUUACUAGCCAAUUCAUCUGCUGAAAGGACGAUGCCUAAGUAAGAUUGUGAUCUUGAAGCCACCACUGAAGCUGGUGUCUUGUCUGUCUGUUGAGGAGAACCUUUGUCUCCAAGGAGGAAUGCUGGCGAUCCCAUCUGAGGAGAUCCUUGGCAUGAAGAGGUCUCAUGUAAAACUUCUCUCAGGGUACUGCAUCUAUAGUUGCAGUCAUCAGACCCAACACCUUCAUCAACUCUCUAAAAGAGGACUAUGGUUUGACGAUAAUUUCUUGAACUGAUUCCUUGAGCCUGAGAAAUUUCUCUGGUGGUAAAUAGACUUUCAUAUUGGAUGAAUUGAUUUUCAUCCCUAGGAACCAGACAGCUCACAGGAAACUGCCCAGCAUGAAUGCAGACCUUGUCUAAACCACGCUAAACAAAACAACAUACCUUUAUAAGCAACUGCAUACUUAUGCUUGGAACUUGGAGCACACAGUUACAUCACCGCGUCCGAAAAGUCACGCGUUCACUUUGUCACACAGUGAAUAGUCGCAGAGAAGAGCAAACCUCAGCUGCACAGAAUAUCUCAAGCAGGCAACUAACCAAGAGGCACUUCUGCUGCUUCUGGAUCUUCUACCCCUGGGGUAGUUCAAUCCUAUGAUCUUUAGGUCCCCUUGAGACCUGGAACUGACAGCCUCUAUAAAAAAGGGAAAAAAAAUAGUACUGGACAAACACAACUCAUUCUUCUAUGCAGGUAGGACAAAAAACACUGGUGACCUCCAGGGUUAGUGCCUAUUUAUGGGUGGGGUUAAUUAACCUUUUCUCUUCACUGUCCUACAUAGCAGGUUGAAUGAAAUAAAAUGUAUUGGUUGCUGCCAUACAAGGACAGAAGGGACCAUGGUGUUUUAUGCACAUUGCAUCCUGUCCUAUGGGAAGAAAAUUAGCCUUUUAAUGUGCAAAUUUCUCACAUUGCUGAAAGUUAGUUGAUGUGUCUGCUGCACAUAGGAUUUAUUCUAUUAGCCUAUUCUUUGUUCUCAAGCUUUUAUAACCAAACCCACAGAAACUGGUCUCCUCUGACAGCAAUGUGUUGGGCUGUGAAAAAACUGACCUAGACAUGGAAAAUGGUUGACCUUAAAGUGUUAAACUAAAAUCCAGCCUCAAAACCAUCCAAUCUCUGCUACUCCUGUUCCUCUGUAAUGACAUCUCUGAUCUUCUGCGUUAUUAAAUUUUAGGAGUUUUCUUUGAAGUUUAACAUUUAUUAUUGAAAGAUAAUCUGCCUAUGUAAAAUGGGCACAGAUCCACAGCAGCCAAGCCAUCGGAUAUUUUCCUUGCCCCGUUUAUGCAAUUAAAUUGUUUGGUUUUUUUUUAUAUUAUUACAUUUGUUUUAAAAACUUACUUUGAUCUUCAGGUUGUUAGAAUGCAGAACAAAAAAUUUAAUCAAAAUAGCAUAACAUCCUGGGUAAAAAAAUACUGGAAGAUAUAAUGCAUACAUUUUUGACAAUAAUUUUGCAGAUAGGCAGCCAAUUGAAUAUUGUGCUCUGAUAAGGUGUCAGAUUGCACCAUCCCCUUCCAGACGUGAACCAAGAGGAAUUAACAAAGACCAAUUAAUUACAAAAGUCCUGCUCACAACUGGCAUGCCAUGCGGUCGCACAUUGGACUGCACUACUGCUAAGAUUUAAGGGAUUCAAAAUUACACUGCGUUGGUACUGUACACCUGCUAUUCUCAGAAUUAAUCAGGGGCAUAACUAUAGAGGAAGCAGACCCUGUGGCUGCAGAGGGGUCCAGGAGGUAUAGGGGUAUAGAUCCUGUGGCUGCAGAGGGGGUCCAGGAGGCCCUAAUUCAGAUAUAAUUUAAAUAAAACUUGGUAAAAUAUCUAGAUAUUUUCAGGUUUUAAAAAUAAUUUGCUGUGGAGGCAAGUAAUAUCUAGUUACACCACUGGCAUUAAUGCUGAGCAGUAAGCUCUUGGUGCAGUACUGAAUUAACUGUGAUAUCCCUUGCUAAGAAUGUUUGAUGGGCAGGAUAAACAUGCCAUUUAUCACACCAAUGAAUAAAUAAAACAUACCUGCCAUCAGGAUGUCUCUAAGGAGCUGGUAACUACCAGUGCUUCCAACUACCCUGCUACAAAAAUAACUUUUAUGAAGUGCCAGAAUGAAGCAUGAAACAUGUCAGGUGAUCUGAUAUGCAAUGGUAACUAUAUCUCCUUAAGGUGUCUUUUCCGCUUUAAUUUAAUAAAGAAGCAAAUAAAGUUGUUUCUACUUUUUAAAUGUUGAA